rnacentral:rRNA from 1 species
CCUACGGGAGGCAGCAGUGAGGAAUAUUGGUCAAUGGGCGAGAGCCUGAACCAGCCAAGUCGCGUGAGGGAGUACUGCCCUAUGGGUUGUAAACCUCUUUUGUCGGGGGGCAAAAGCCGGACGUGUCCGGCUGUGAGAGUACCCGAAGAAAAAGCAUCGGCUAACUCCGUGCCAGCAGCCGCGGUAAUACGGAGGAUGCGGGCGUUAUCCGGGUUUAUUGGGUUUAAAGGGUGCGCAGGCGGAUUUUUAAGUCAGCGGUAAAAUCGUGGGGCUCAACCCCAUCCAGCCGUUGAAACUGGGGAUCUAGAGUGUGCGAGAGGUAUGCGGAAUGCGUGGUGUAGCGGUGAAAUGCAUAGAUAUCACGCAGAACCCCGAUUGCGAAGGCAGCAUACCGGUGCACAACUGACGCUCAGGCACGAAAGCGUGGGUAUCGAACAGGAUUAGAUACCCGAGUAGUC